UGGGGAAUAUUGGACAAUGGGGGCAACCCUGAUCCAGCGAUGCCGCGUGUGCGGAGAAGGCCUGCGGGUUGUAAAGCACUUUGGUUGGGGAAGAAGGUUGGGCGUUGAAUAGAUGCCUGAAUUGACGUUACCCAAAGAACAAGCACCGGCUAACUCUGUGCCAGCAGCCGCGGUAAUACAGAGGGAGCAAGCGUUGUUCGGAUUUACUGGGCGUAAAGGGCGCGUAGGCGGCGCGGUAAGUCACUUGUGAAAUCUCUGAGCUUAACCUGGGAACUGCAUUUGUGACUGCCAGACUAGAGUGUAGCAGAGGGGGGUAGAAUUCCACGUGUAGCAGUGAAAUGCGUAGAUAUGUGGAGGAAUACCGAUGGCGAAGGCAGCCCCCUGGGCUAACACUGACGCUCAUGCACGAAAGCGUGGCGAGCAAACAGGAUUAGAUACCCCCGUAGUCCCUGAGCGGGCUGGCAAGGCGCAU
rnacentral:rRNA from 1 species